rnacentral:rRNA from 1 species
UAGGGAAUAUUAGAAAUGGACGAAAGUCUGAUCUAGCAACACCGCGUGUGCGAAGAAGGCCUUCGGGUCGUAAAGCACUUUUUGGAAGGAAUAGGAAGGAAUGUACUUCCAGAAUAAGUCUCGGCUAACUACGUGCCAGCAGCCGCGGUAACACGUAGGAGGCAAACGUUAUCCGGAUUUACUGGGCGUAAAGCGCGUGUAGGUGGUACUGUAAGUAGGGCGUGAAAGCUCCUGGCUCAACUGGGAGAGGCCGUUCUAAACUACAGAACUAGAGGAUGGUGGAGGGAGGUGGAUUUCCAGGUGUGGCGGUGGAAUGCGCAGAUAUCUGGAGGACCACCGGUGGCGAAGCCGGCCUCCUGGACCAUUCCUGACAC